CUCCCCAGUGGUGCAGUGGGUCGGUGCGUCUGGCUAUUAACCAGAAGGUUGGUGGUUCAAGCCCACCUAGGGAGA